UGUUACGUGAAAUUUUGCAAUUAUAUGUGUGUAUUGUUUGUCGGAGUAGGUGAGCUAUAGGUGUACAGAGAGUUAAAAGUUAUGCUUGUGCGUUCAUUUUGCUGCGUACCCUUCUUGUUAUGCUGGGGAUUCUAUUGAUGGAAGUGGUUUUAGAGGAGGGGGACCCUAUUCAGAGGAUAAACACAGGUUAUUUUUGUUUUUGCUAUCUGAAAGCAGGCUCACAUGGCUUCUUAUAGGUGGUUUAGUUGUGCCUUUUUUGCUGCUAUUAUGUACUUAUAUUUGAUACGCUUCUCUUAUCUGCUGCUUGAUUUUGCGAUGAAUAUAGUCUAAAUUACUUUCAGUAUGUCUGGUUUCUGGAAGGUGGAAGCAGAAGUAUUAAAUUUCUAAGGAAAAAAAAAAGGCAAAAUGCCUAUUUUGGCUCUUAAAUAUGGCCGAUAGUCAUAUAAGCUUUUAAAGCCUUCAAAUUUUAAAAAGAUCAAAUAAGUCAUUCAGAUUUUAAAAAUAGAUUAAAUAGGCCCUUUUUUUGGAAAAAUAAGCCCUUUAAAGAUAAAAGAAGACUGAAACUAUAAUUUGCUUCUAAAUAUAAAUCUAGCCAAGGCUGUGCAUGGAGGUUUUCUAGCGCACGGGUCCUCAUUAGCAAUUCUGUGUAUCUGAUUCGCACCGUUUUAUCUGCUGCAUCCUGGAGCUUGAUAAGUUGUUAAACUAUGACGAAGGUGGUGAACUUAUAGAGAAGUUUCUUGAAUCAUUUUGCAAAGAACAACUUAUUAAUUUUCUUUAGGAUGCAGCAUAUACUUAGUGGAUCAGAUACACAGGAUUACCGAUGAGGACCCGUGCACUAGAAAGCUUGAUUUAUGUUAAAAGCAAAUUAUAGGUCAGUCUUUUUUGAUCUAUUAAAAGUUAAAGGAUUGACUUGUCACCAAAGGCUUAUUUGAUCCAUUUUUAAAAAUUUAAGAGAUUUAUU
rnacentral:misc_RNA from 1 species